rnacentral:misc_RNA from 1 species
UUUCCGUAGGUGAACCUGCGGAAGGAUCAUUAAAUAGUACCACAGAUUACAUAUGCAAAUAUGACAAUCUACUACUAUAUACCAUUCCGAGUACUCUUUUUCCAUUUUGCUUCCGCGAGGCAGUCACUUCAAGUGGCCGUUUGCUCCGGAUCUCCCUUCUUGGAGAGCCGGCUGUGGGCGAGAUUUCCUUGCGAAAGGUCAAUUACAAAUCCAAUUAUGUUUUUAUUUUGUGUCUGAAUAGAUUUUUUUUUUCUUUCUUUUUUUAAUUAAUAAAUACAAAAAAAAUAAAAUAAAAUACAAAACUUUCAACAACGGAUCUCUUGGUUCUC